UACAGAGAUCCCAAGCGUUGUUCGGAUUCACUGGGCGUAAAGGGUGCGUAGGCGGUCGGGUAAGUCUGAUGUGAAAUCUCACAGCUUAACUGUGAAACUGCAUUGGAUACUAUUCGGCUUGAGAGUUGGAGGGGGGACUGGAAUUCUUGGUGUAGCAGUGAAAUGCGUAGAUAUCAAGAGGAACACCAGUGGCGAAGGCGAGUCCCUGGACAACUUCUGACGCUGAGGCACGAAAGCUAGGGGAGCAAACAGG
rnacentral:rRNA from 1 species